GGGCUCAUAGCUCAGUUGGAAGAGCGCCGCCUUUGCAAGGCGGAGGCCAUGGGUUCAAAUCCCAUUGAGUCC
rnacentral:tRNA from 1 species